CGGCGGCCGGACAGCUGAUUGAGGCAUGUUUUGCAGGGGAGCGACGGCAUCUGGGAAUUUUGGCCGAUGUGGCUCCUUAUUUUUCUGGCUUCGAGUCUAUAAUGCAUCGCAAUAUGCAACCUCUGCUAAUCCCUUGGCUUUCGAUCUGGUGGUCAAUUAAAUAUCUUCCUUUCCGUCCUCUUCAUGGCUAGGUGCGCUGGGUUCAUUAGUCCUCUCCUACAGUUUUGUGUUUAUUUUUGAAAUUGCUAGGCCUAAGAGCUCAGAUGGCUAGUAAUUCUGUGUAACGGCAAAAACUUGUGAUAAGUAGUUCUUCAUCAUUUUUUAUUUGUUGGCUGCAAAGGCAUCUUCAGUCCAGUACUAGUCGUCAUGCUCUAUUAGGUUCUACGUAAAGUAUCAAUCGAAAGCAAAUUCUACCUCAAUAAUUUACUAGUCUUUUUGUUGAAAUAUACUGCCUUCAACAAGACCUGAUAACUUCGACAAUUUGUGCAAAUGUAAUGGGCGUACUAUCUGUGCAAAUGUCUUAGAAUUACUACUCACAUUAUUCAGCUUUAUAAUGGGCGUAGUAAUUCCAAAUCUAGUCUUACCUUCUGCAUUUUCAUAUAAUGGGCAAAUUGCGGGCUCAAGAAUCAGUGGGAGUACCUUUUUUCUAAUGCAAUUGAGAUGCAUUCUGCCUUUUUCAGGAAUAUAUUCAGCUUGUUUGGGUGGUACGCAUUUUUUAGGUUCACUUAUAAGCAUUUCCUAGUUUAUCGCUAAAUCUUCAUUUUUUAAUAUGGCUUGGUUUUGUUCUUUCAUUGAUGAAAGCAAGAUGAUGACUAGGAAUGUCAUUUAAAAAUAAAACAAAAGUUUGGCUUUCCUUCUCCAUAUCGCCAUCCUUCAUGGAAUGAUUUUUUUAUUCUUUGUCCUUCUUAUGGUACGUACAUCAGCUAACUUCUAACGGAGCGUGUACAUUAAGCAUAUAUUUUUGCCACAUUUUGAAACAAACAUAAUUUUACAUUUACUUCCCGGCCUUUGAUUAUAUAUGGAAGAUCCAUAUGCUAAUUCUCUCUUAAAUGUUUACCUUUAACCUAUUUUCAUGUCUUCUGGAGCUAUCCAUUCAAAUUUGGCUAAUAUCUUCUUCCUGACUGUUUACCAAUGUAAGACUGUCAUAGACAUUCAUUUACUUCCAUUUGAUAUUGAGUUACUACAUUAUUAUCUGCAUGAUUUUCCAUUAAAUGCGUACCCAUUCUACUAUUGGUCAUUUCCAUUGUCACGUGGGUUGUAGGCCAAACAAUGUUUACGAAACAUUGCUCGAUAUUUAUGUCUAUUUGGGCGGGCACUGGAUGAAUUUGGCGCAAGAGAAAAUGGCAUACUGAGAGCAAAGAUGUUGCCCCAAAUGUAGUUUCUGUUGUUGAUUGUCUUUGUAAGAAGGUAUAUGUAGAAAUAAAGGAGUGGGCCUGCCCGAAUUCCAUUUUUCUGUUAGUGUCCUUACGUCCAGCUUUGAUCAAGUUACUAGCCUAGUAGAUUCUCCCUUCAUGACUGACGCAGAUUCAGUAUGCGAAACGUAUUUUCGUUCUGGCAAAAUUACUGUGGAAGAUAUUCCAGCUGCUGUCCUUUUCAGAAUAGAUGACAUUCUAGGAUUUGUAAGCUAUAAUUUCCUAUUCUCAUUCUUGAAAUAUGAAAUAAAUCUAAUUUGAUGUAUGAUACUGGCUUCUUCCACCUCAUGUUACAUGUGGCAAUGUUGCAUAUUCUACUGCUUUUUUAAUAGCACCUAGUCAAUUUUAUACUCCAAUUCUUGAUUGCAAGCUUGGCUUUUUUCAUUAAUACUAAGCAUAUAAUUACAAUAUUCUCAUCGUGAAAUGGAAUAUGUUUCAACUGACUGAGUUUUUCCAAAGACAUGUGAACUCAACUGAUGCCGGUGAGUGCCCAAUGAAGUACUUACAUUUGCACUAAAUAGUGUUUGCUGGAGCUUCAAGUAUUCGACCAUCUGUCAUUUUUGUUUCGGAGUGCAUGAUUCUGGAUUGGUACACAAAGUAGGCACUUAGCCACUUGUCUAUGAAGAGCUAGCAAUUUCGGUUGUGCAUUUUUUUACCUGAAAUACACAUUUUUUGUUUAGACAUAUGAUUUUUUUUUCCUAUGUGCUCCAUUUGGUUUAACGUAAUCUUUUACAAACUAUUUAGGAUGCUUCUUCUGAAAUUUUAUCCGGUGUUUCAGGCACACAAAUCAAAGUACUCACCAUUGCGGGGAGAAAUGCCUGACAAUUAUUUGGCAAUUGGACAAUUGGUCAAUUGGGAGGAAACCAGCAUGACACAUGCACUCUUGAUGCUCAAGACUCAAGAGGCACAAGCCAACUUCUAGCUGGUUUAAUUAAAGCUCUACAUAUGAUUGCGUGAAUAGUGUUGUUUCAUGAAUGCUCGGUCUAUAAGUGUGAACAGUGUAGCUUUGUAUUAUAAACUGUGAAGAGAAAUUUACUCACGAUUUUGGUUUUUC